UACGUAGGGGCCAAGCGUUGUCCGGAAUCAUUGGGCGUAAAGAGCGUGUAGGCGGCUUGUUAAGUCUUGCGUGAAAUCUCGGGGCUCAACCCCGAGCGGUCGUGAGAAACUGGCAGGCUAGAGUGCGGGAGAGGAGAGUGGAAUUCCUGGUGUAGCGGUGAAAUGCGCAGAUAUCAGGAAGAACACCCGUGGCGAAGGCGGCUCUCUGGAACGCAACUGACGCUGAGACGCGAAAGCGUGGGGAGCAAACAGG
rnacentral:rRNA from 1 species